rnacentral:rRNA from 1 species
GGGGGAUAACUAUUGGAAACGAUAGCUAAUACCGCAUAAGAGUAGAUGUUGCAUGACAUUUGCUUAAAAGGUGCAAUUGCACCACUACCAGAUGGACCUGCGUUGUAUUAGCUAGUUGGUGGGGUAACGGCUCACCAAGGCGACGAUACAUAGCCGACCUGAGAGGGUGAUCGGCCGCACUGGGACUGAGACACGGCCCAG